rnacentral:lncRNA from 1 species
UUUGAUCUUUUUUCUUGAAUGGGUUCCCUCGUGGCUGUUAGACGAGAUGUGAACCAUGACAUAUAGUUCAAUCUAUCUAAGAAACCACGAACCUCUCUUUUUUUGUUCUCGGUUCAGGCAUUUCUUAUUUUGUUUUUUUUUUGUUUUUUUGUUUUUUUUUUUAGCAGGAUCAACCUCGAUUCCUCUCUUACAAUGAACCCCAGCGUCUUACCGGACCGCACUCUGAUAGUGCACUUACUCAAUUCAACCUCAGUUUGAAUCAUUUCAACUGGUCAAACGACUUGCCCCGGUCUGCCAGAUGCCCCUCUCCUGUU